UACGAAGGGGGGCUAGCGUUGUUCGGAAUCACUGGGCGUAAAGCGCACGUAGGCGGAUUUGUCAGUCAGGGGUGAAAUCCCGGGGCUCAACCUCGGAACUGCCUUUGAUACAGCAAGUCUUGAGUUCGAGAGAGGUGGGUGGAAUUCCUAGUGUAGAGGUGAAAUUCGUAGAUAUUAGGAAGAACACCGGUGGCGAAGGCGGCCCACUGGCUCGAUACUGACGCUGAGGUGCGAAAGCGUGGGGGAGCAAACAGG
rnacentral:rRNA from 1 species